rnacentral:lncRNA from 1 species
UCUGUCCCUUCCUCUCUUCCAGCUCCGCCAUGCCCCAGGGACGGUGUCAGCAGUGGCAAGCAAGAGCCGCCAGCAGCUCCCAUCCACGGUGCGUUGGGAGCUGGGUGGGUUCCACAAGGGGCUGCUGGAGUUUUAGGGUUAUGGGUAGGAGUUGGGUUGUGGCUCAUUGCUCUCCAUCCCCAGAGGUCAUCGUCCCCAAGGAGGAGGUCCGGGAGGUGGUGGCUCCUCAGCCUAUCCCACCUGAGAGCAGCACGGUGGAGGAUGAUGAUGGCGAUGAUGAUGGCGAUGAUGAUGACGAAGCAGACAGCAACCUGGCUGAGCCCUGGAUCUUCAAGAAGUGGUUUGGCCGCUCGGAGCCAGGACACAAGGAGGAAGAGGCUGGAGAAGAGGAGGAAGAGCCCGCUGAGAAACCUGAGGAACCAACAGCCAAAGUGGAGCUGAGGAAGGGCCAGGAGAAACCAGAGAAGAAAGAGGAGAAGGCAAAAGGUCCGGAGAAGGAGGAGAAAACUCGAGGCCCAGAGAAAAAAGAGGAGAGAAAGGAGGAGAAGGAGGAGGAGAAGGAAGAGAAGAAAGAGAAGAAGGAGGAGAAGAAGGAAGAGAAGAAAGAAGAGAAGAAGGAAGAGGAGGAGGAGGAGGAGGAGGAGGAGGAAGAGAAGGAGAGACCCCGUGGCCCAAAGAAGGAGGAGAGGCCCAAGGAGGGUCGCGCAGCCCCAGCAGAGAAGAGCAGUCGUCGGGAGCCACGUCCCAAGGACAGGACCCGCGAGGAGAGACCCCCCAGAGCCCCCCGGGCACACAGGGAUCCCGAGCAGCAGCACAAGAAGAGACGCCGUGAGGGGAAGGAGAGCCGGUGGGACAGGGAUGAGCACCGCAGGGAUGGUGGCAAGGGCAGCAAGGGCAGAGCUGAGCGCCAGGAGGGCGGCCGGAGGAACUGGGGGCUGCCACGGGGCGAGCAGCGGGGACGGAGGGCUGGGGAGACAACAGGGAGGGACAGGGCACGAGAGGGACGGCGGCGUGACUGA